CCUGCCCAAUGAGGAUUUAAAUGGCCGCAGUAUUUUGACUGUGCAAAGGUAGCAUAAUUAUUAGUUUUUUAAUUGAAAGCUUGUAUGAAGGGUUGGACGAGAUGAAAUCUGUCUUUAUUUAAAUUAAAGUAUAAUUUAACUUUUAAGUAAGAAGGCUUAAAUGUUUAUAAAAGACGAGAAGACCCUAUAGAUCUUUAUUUAAUUGAAAUUUUAAUAAUUUAGGAUUAUUUUAAUUUAAAGUUUUAAUUGAAUUUUAUUGGGGUAAUAUAAAGAUUAAAUAAAUUCUUUUUAUUUAUAACAUURAUUUAUGAAUAUAUGAUCCAUUAAUAUUGAUUAUAAGAUUAAGUUACCUUAGGGAUAACAGCGUAAUUUUUUUGGAGAGCUCAUAUCGAUAAAAAAGUUUGCGACCUCGAUGUUGGAUUAAAAAUUAGCUUGGGUGCAGAAGCUCAAGAUUUUGGUCUGUUCGACCAUUAAAUUUUUACAUGAUCUGAGUUCAGACCGGCGUGAGCCAGGUCGGUUUCUAUCUUUAUUAAGAUAAAAUGUUUUAGUACGAAAGGACCAGACAUUUAAUAUAAUUAUAUUUAUUUUUUGAAGAAUAUU
rnacentral:rRNA from 1 species